UACGAAGCAGGCAUGCGAACUGAUUCAAACCACAAAAAUAGUGUAGCCCUACUCUCUACAACGCUGCAUGUCGAAGUGAUGAUGCUGUCUUAGGCUUCAGUUUCAAGUAUUGAGUGGGUCUGAUAAGAUUGCGUGUUGCAGACAAGGAAUCCUGUGUUACUUACGGGCCAGGGAUGUACAGGCGGGCCAGAAGUCGUAUUUUCGCAGAAUUCGAUACCGUGUCCUACAUCACAAGAGGAGUGGAAGAAAGUUGCUAAGGACUUUGAAGUUAGGUGGCAGUUUCCCAACUGCAUAGGAGCCAUGAAUGGAAAACGUGUGGCUAUCACGCCUCCUCCAGGGGCUGGAGCAUUCUUCUUUAACUAUAAAAGUUUCCAGAGCCAAUUAUGAGUUACUAUACUUCAGUUUUGGAUCAAAUGGCCGUGUGUCCGAUGGUGGAGUUUUUCAAAGCACAGACUUUUACAGGACACUCGAAAGUGGGAGUUUGAAUGUGCCAAAGGAAACAAUUGUUGCUGGGAGAAAUAUGCCUUUUGUUCUUGUAGCAGAUGAUGCCUUUCCACUGAGGAAAGACAUCAUGAAGCCUUUCAGCCGUAAAGUAAACACACCAGCCCGUAAGAUAUUCAACUACCUUUUGUCUAGAGCUCGGCGAAGGAUUGAAAGUGUUUUUGGUAUCAUUGUGGAGAGAUUUGCGGUAUUACAGAAACCCAUCUCUAUCAUAGAUUUGACUAGCGUCCGCCAUAUUGUUAUGGCAUGUUGUGCCCUGCAUAUUUUUUUGCGCAGUAAGAUUCCGAAUUAGUACACACCAUUGAAGGGUUUGGAUGAUGAGGAUUUUGAAACUGGGAAUGUUACGCCUGGUUAUCGCUGCAGUCAAUUUAUGGAUCUGGAAAGACGACAGCGGUGUUUUCCUACCCAGGAUGCGAAACUUGUAAGAGAGUUGUUUUUGGAGUAUUUCAACAACGAAGGAAAAGUUCCAUGGCAAGAUAAGUUCUGUUUUCAAAAACAGUACAUUAAGGCAGAAGGCUCUGAUUCCGUACACAUGCAUAGAAUUAUUUAGUGUUUAGCAUUGUAAUCUAUAAUUGUUAA